rnacentral:tRNA from 1 species
AGCUCAGGUGGUUAGAGCGCACGCCUGAUAAGCGUGAGGUCGGUGGUUCGAGUCNNUGGUGUUACGGCGCUAGGCG